rnacentral:rRNA from 1 species
CCCCAGGGUUUGCUCCGUUAGUGCGCCAGCGGAGGACAUUACAGAGUUGCAAAACUCCCAAACCAUUGUGAACCUACCUACAACCGUUGCUUCGGCGGGCGGCCCCGGGUCUCCCCGGGCGCCCCUCCGGCCCCUCGCGGGGGCCCGCCGGAGGUACGCAACCCUCUGUAUUUGCAUGGCCUCUCUGAGUCUCUGUACUGAAUAAGUCAAAACUUUCAACAACGGAUCUCUUGGUUCUGGCAUCGAUGAAGAACGCAGCGAAAUGCGAUAAGUAAUGUGAAUUGCAGAAUUCAGUGAAUCAUCGAAUCUUUGAACGCACAUUGCGCCCGCCAGUAUUCUGGCGGGCAUGCCUGUUCGAGCGUCAUUCCAACCAUCAAGCCCCGGGCUUGUGUUGGGGCCCUGCGGCUGCCGCAGGCCCCGAAAACCAGUGGCGGGCUCGCUGUCACACCGAGCGUAGUAGUUACCACCUCGCUCCGGGGCGUGCCGCGGGGUUCCGGCCGUUUAAACCCCCCCUAUCUUUUUUUCUAAAGGGUUUGACCUCGGAUCACGGUAGGAAGGUACCCCGCUGAACUUAAAGCAUAUCAAUCAGCGGAAGGAAUAAGUAAACCUAUCAGGGUACUGCCAGCUUAACGGGGCGGAUAGCUGUCGUGUCUC